rnacentral:rRNA from 1 species
UACGUAGGGUGCAGGCGUUAAUCGGAAUUACUGGGCGUAAAGCGUGCGCAGGCGGUCUGCUAAGUGAGGUGUGAAAUCCCCGGGCUUAACCUGGGAACUGCGCUUCUAACUGGCAGGCUAGAGUGUGGCAGAGGGGGGUGGAAUUCCACGUGUAGCAGUGAAAUGCGUAGAGAUGUGGAGGAACACCGAUGGCGAAGGCAGCCCCCUGGGCUAACACUGACGCUCAUGCACGAAAGCGUGGGGAGCAAACAGG